CCCUUAGAUGUUCUGGGCCGCACGCGCGCUACACUGAUGCAUUCAACGAGUCUAAAACCUGCUCUGAUAGGGGUGGGUAAUCUUUUGAAUGUGCAUCGUGAUUGGGAUAGAUGAUUGCAAUUUUUCAUCUUCAACGAGGAACGCCUAGUAAACGCAAGUCAUCAGCUUGCAUUGAUUACGUCCCUGCCCUUUGUACACACCGCCCGUCGCUCCUACCGAUUGAAUGAUCCGAUGAAUAUCAUGGAUUGAGGAUUAUAGCAGGUUCGCCUGUCUUGAUCUUCGAGAAGUGAAGUAAAUCUUAUCAUUUAGAGGAAGGAGAAGUCGUAACA
rnacentral:rRNA from 1 species